AAUAUUGUUGCAGAAGGGUUAAACAUCCUUUUUAAAAGAGCCAAGGCAGAAGGUGUUAUUUCUGGAAUCAGUUUGGGUGUAAAUGGUCCAGUCAUUUCCCAUUUACAAUUUGCUGACAAUACCAUCAUUUUUUGUAAAAAUAACAGGGAGGAGGUCCAAUCAAUUAUGGGAAUUUUGUUUUCCUUUUCAGCUAAUUUCUGGCUUGAAAAUCAACUUCUCUAAAAGCCAAUUAUGUGGUAUUGGUAUGCCAGCUGAAAUUGUUGUCUUAUGCUAAGAUCUUGGGGUGUAAAGUGGUGGAUCUUCCAUUCAAUAUUUGGGGCUUCCUUUGGGGGCAAAUCCUAGGAGGAUUGAUACAUGGAAGUCUGUUAUUGAGAAUUUUGAGAAAAAAAUUAGCCUUUUAUAAUAGGAAGUACAUCACUCUGUGGGGGAAGGCUAACACUUAUUAACUCUAAUCUAGGUAAUUUACCUUUGUAUUAUAUGUCCCUAUUCAAAAUGCCCGUAACAGUUGCAAGAAAGCUUGAGAAGAUUCAAAGGCAGUUCUUAUGGGGUGAUACAAAUGAGAAAAGAAAGCUUCAUAUGGUUGGAUGGGAUAGGGUAACUAAAAGCAAGAAAAUAGGAGGUUUGGGUAUCAAAAGACUCUUAAUUCAGAAUGCAGCAUUACUAUGUAAAUGGUGGAGAUUUGGGGUGGAAAAAGAUGCACUGUGGGUGAAAGCAAUCAAUGGGAAGUAUGGUGAAUCUGGUUCCAUGUGGCUACCUUCUCAAUUGAACAAGCAAGGCAGUUUCUGAAAAAUAUGGGGGGAUAUCUGUGAAAUAGGUAAAGAAGGCUCAAAUCUUGAAAUGAUCAUUGCAGAGGGUUUCUGGAUCAAAGUGGGCUCUGGGUUACAAACUUCUUUUUGGAAAGAUGUCUGGUAUGGCAACCAAGCACUGAGGUAUGCAUUCCCUAUUCUAUUUAACGCUUCUAAUCAAAAGAAUGCCAGUGUUGGGGAGAUUUAUGAUUCUUCUAAUAUGUUAUGGAAUCUAACGUAUAGAAGAAGAUUAUUCUCCUGGGAAAAGGAGGAGGAGAAUGAGCUAAAAUGUAGUUUGAAUGCUAUAACAUUGCAGCCCAGCAAAAAAGACUCCUUGAGAUGGAGAUGGAAUAACCAAACUGAAAACUUCUCUGUUAAAUCUUGUUAUGAAAAGUGGGAGAAUGUGUUUAAUUCACAGAACCAUAUUGGACCUCUAUGCAAAAUGAUUUGGAAGAAUGCAUGUCCUUUCAAAGUUUAAGGUUUUCUUAUGGCAAGCGAUCCAAGAAAAAGUUGCAACUGGUUCGGAACUGUUGAAAAGGAAUAUUUUGAAUCAAAAGAAUGGUGAGGAGGGUUUAUGCCCUUUCUGCUCUCUGGAAUUGGAAACUGUGCCUCGCCUCUUUUUACAUUGUCCCAUAUCUUGGAAGAUAUGGUCCAAUAUUCUGAAUUGGUGGGGUAACAUGUGGGUUUGUCCUUCUAGUCUGAAUGAGCUUUUGUGUUGGUGGUUCACUAAUAAAUUCAAAUCUGUGGAAAAAGGGAGUUGGGAAAUAUGCUUCUAUGCCAUAAUCUGGUCCAUCUGGAUCGAGAGGAACCACAUCCUAUUCAGGAAUAAAGUUUUUGAUGAGGCGAAGUUAGUGGAGAAUAUCAAGACCAAGAUUGCUUUAUGGUUGAAAGCUUGUUAUGAUCUUAAAGAAUACACAGUGGAGGCUAUCAAAAGAUGCAUCCAAUGAGUCAGGAAAUUGAAAGCUGCUAAGAUUCACAGUUCUUAAGUUUUCUGUGUAUGGUGCGGGUUUUGGGAGUCUCUUUUUUUUUUUUGGGGCUUGGCAGGGUCAUGUUAGUUGUGUCUGAGUUUUGUUUGGGCUUCUGGUAUUUUGUCAUUUUUGUGAAUCUGGUAAUUGUGUUUAAGGGGUGGUGCCCGUGGUGGUGUUGGUUAGUGUUCUGUUUGGUUUGUGGUGCUUGUUUGGCUUUGGUCUUUGGUUAUCGUUGGGUUGGGUUGUCUUGGUUUUGUGCUGGUUUUUUCUGCUUUUGGUUGCAUUUGUAUCCCUCUGCCUUUGUUUUUGGGUUGCUGAUGGUGGUCAGGUCAGUGUGCUCUGGGUUGCGUCGGUUGAGUCUGGGUCUUUGUUGGUCUGUCAUGUGUAGUGUUUUGUUGCUGGUUUGAUCUUGUUGUCUGAUGCUCGGCUGCUGCGUGUUCUGGUUUGUCUGUAGAUGAUAGGGAUUCGUUUCCUUAGAUACAGUCUUUCCAGUUCUGUUCGUGCCUCAACAUCCAAAUGUUUCAUGCUGUCGAUGGAUAGGAAGCUCAUUGCCAGGUGCAGUUCAAAAUCAGAUUUGCUUCCCCUGGAAAAUCUCUAUGAUGAUGUGGUUUUAUUGGCAGUUCCCUGUUUGUUUUAGCUGUAUACGAAGUAAAGCUGUCUAAGAGGUUUGGUGCUCCAUGUUUCACUUCCAUUGCUUUGCUGCUGUUGAUGAUAAUAUCGUCAACGGAUUUUUCGAGACGGUUAGUACCUAUGACACUUUUGGGUCUUGGUGGUCUCAAAUCCAUUCCCUUUUGGUUACGAUGGUUUAGUUGCGGAGUAUGUGGCUAGUAGAAUUUGGUCUUGUUUUUCUUUUCCGUUGGCUCCUAGCUAACUUCUUUUUUUUCUUUGGUAGCGGGUGACAUAUGAUUGUCCUUAGCCUACAUGCCAACAUAGUUGGGAUGUAGGUUUUUGGUUGUGAUGCCGCUUUCUUCCCGCUCCCAUUUAAUCUUUGUAACUUUCUGUUCGGAGAUUAAUAAAAUUCUUUUGCCAAUAAAAAAAAAAAA